AUCACAUCUACAACCCUUCCAGAGACAGACCUACCGUACUAACUAUACUUUUCUCGAAGAUGAAACACUACUUAGGUGCGCAGUUGUGUCCGAGGACAGAACUUAAUCGAAUAACUUUACAAUACCUAUGGCGGAUAAAGAAACAAGUUUUAUUUUUCUUUGAUCGUUCAAAGAGGGAACAACAACCAAAGUUUGCGUGGAGUAGUGAAGCAAAUAUAUUAGCUCCAUUUGACAUCCAAACUUUCAAAGAUCCCGAAAAAUGGAUUGAAUUUUUGACAGUGCAAUACAGGUCUAAACGUCCACAAAAUAUGUUUUAUAUAACACAGGGCGUUCUAUUGCCACAUUGGAUAGAAGUCUUAGCCGGACAAACUGUUAAUGCCACCUUAAAGGCUUGGAUAUCGCAAACAGCAUCUUCACGUUUAGUCGAAUGGAUGAAAACACGAAAAGGGGGACCUAAUGGGAUAAAUAUUGUCAUUGCAGAUUACAUAGAGGAGGACGACUUUGUACCCACUGUAUUGCAUUUAAAUGGCAGCGGUAGAACUGCUUUGCAUAUGCGCGUUUACGUUAUAUUGCUAGUUUUGUACGUUCUAGUGUACGUUCUAAGAUUUUAGAUUUUGGGAGUGUUUCUAAAUUUUCAGGGUGUGUACAGUACAUAGCACUCCAAUUACCCGG